UCUGGUGAUCAUGCCGGAGGGGUACCACCCGUUCCCAUCCCGAACACGGAAGUUAAGACCUCCAGGGCCGAUGAUACUUGGGGCGCAAGCUCCUGGAAAAGCAGGUCAUCGCCAGGU
rnacentral:rRNA from 1 species